rnacentral:rRNA from 1 species
UACAGAGGGCGCGAGCGUUGUCCGGAAUCACUGGGCGUAAAGGGCGCGUAGGUGGCCACCAUAAGGCCGCGGUGAAAGUUCGGGGCUCAACCCCGAAUCGGCCGCGGCGACUGUGGGGCUCGGGUACUGUAGAGGCAGAUGGAAUUCCGGGUGUAGCGGUGGAAUGCGUAGAGAUCCGGAAGAACACCAAUGGCGAAGGCAGCCAUCUGGACCGACACUGACGCUGAGGCGCGAAAGCGUGGGGAGCAAACAGG